GCUUCCUCUGGCUGAAAGGCAGCAACAAAGGUGGGGAGUCUGACACCAAUCUCUUCCCUGGGCCACAAAUGGGAAAGCAGACCUGGAUCGGAAUGGUGACUUACAAAAGAUACUCUUACCUCUCUAAACUUCAC